UCCGUAGGUGGCAAUCGUUGUCCGGAAUUACUGGGUGUAAAGGGCGUGUAGGCGGGACUGCAAGUCAGAUGUGAAAUUCCCAGGCUCAACCUGGGGGCUGCGUCUGAAACUGUGGUUCUUGAGUGCUGGAGAGGAAAGCGGAAUUCCUAGUGUAGCGGUGAAAUGCGUAGAUAUUAGGAGGAACACCAGUGGCGAAGGCGGCUUUCUGGACAGUAACUGACGCUGAGGCGCGAAAGCGUGGGGAGCAAACAGG
rnacentral:rRNA from 1 species